rnacentral:rRNA from 1 species
GACGAACGCUGGCGGCGUGCCUAACACAUGCAAGUCGAGCGAACCCUUUGGGGUGAGCGGCGGACGGGUGAGUAACGCGUGGGUAACCUGCCCUAUACACACGGAUAACGUACCGAAAGGUACGCUAAUACGGGAUAAAGUUGUUGGAUGGCAUCUUCUAACAAUCAAAGCUCCAGCGGUAUAGGAUGGACCCGCGUCUGAUUAGCUAGUUGGUGAGGUAAUGGCUCACCAAGGCGACGAUCAGUAGCCGACCUGAGAGGGUGAUCGGCCACACUGGAACUGAGACACGGUCCAGACUCCUACGGGAGGCAGCAGUGGGGAAUAUUGCACAAUGGGCGAAAGCCUGAUGCAGCAACGCCGCGUGAGCGAUGAAGGUCUUCGGAUCGUAAAGCUCUGUCCUCAAGGAAGAUAAUGACGGUACUUGAGGAGGAAGCCCCGGCUAACUACGUGCCAGCCGCCGCAGUAA